rnacentral:tRNA from 1 species
ACCUGGCUGGCUCAUUUGGUGGAGCAUGCAACUCUUGAUCUCAUGGUUGUGGGUUCGAGCCCCACUUUGGGUG